rnacentral:rRNA from 1 species
GACAGAGGGUGCAAACGUUGUUCGGAAUUACUGGGCGUAAAGCGCGUGUAGGCGGCCCUGCAAGUCGGAUGUGAAAUCCCACGGCUCAACCGUGGAAGUGCAUUCGAAACUGCAGGGCUAGAGUCCUGGAGAGGAAGGUGGAAUGCUUGGUGUAGAGGUGAAAUUCGUAGAUAUCAAGCGGAACACCGGUGGCGAAGGCGGCCUUCUGGACAGUGACUGACGCUGAGACGGCGAAAGCGUGGGGAGCCAAACAGGG